rnacentral:rRNA from 1 species
UACGGGGGGAGCAAGCGUUGUUCGGAUUUACUGGGCGUAAAGGGCGCGUAGGCGGCUUGUACAGUCAGACGUGAAAUUCCUGGGCUCAACCUGGGGGCUGCGUUUGAUACGUGCGGGCUUGAGUUCGGAAGAGGGUCGUGGAAUUCCCAGUGUAGAGGUGAAAUUCGUAGAUAUCGGGAGGAACACCGGUGGCGAAGGCGGCGACCUGGGUAGAUACUGACGCUGAGGUGCGAAAGCGUGGGGAGCAAACAGG